UACGUAGGGCGCGAGCGUUGUCCGGAUUUAUUGGGCGUAAAGAGCUCGUAGGCGGCUUGUCGCGUCGUCUGUGAAAUCCCGCGGCUCAACCGCGGGUCUGCAGUCGAUACGGGCAGGCUAGAGUUCGGUAGGGGAGACUGGAAUUCCUGGUGUAGCGGUGAAAUGCGCAGAUAUCAGGAGGAACACCGGUGGCGAAGGCGGGUCUCUGGGCCGAUACUGACGCUGAGGAGCGAAAGCGUGGGGGAGCGAACAGG
rnacentral:rRNA from 1 species